rnacentral:rRNA from 1 species
UAUUGGACAAUGGGCGCAAGCCUGAUCCAGCCAUGCCGCGUGUGUGAAGAAGGCCUUCGGGUUGUAAAGCACUUUUGUCCGGAAAGAAAAGCUCUCGGUUAAUACCCGGGGGUCCUGACGGUACCGGAAGAAUAAGCACCGGCUAACUUCGUGCCAGCAGCCGCGGUAAUACGAAGGGUGCAAGCGUUACUCGGAAUUACUGGGCGUAAAGGGCGCGUAGGCGGCUAGGCAAGUCAGGUGUGAAAGCCCCGGGCUUAACCCGGGAAUUGCAUCUGAAACUGCUGUGCUUGAGUUCUGGAGGGGGUAGUGGAAUUCCCAGUGUAGCGGUGAAAUGCGUAGAUAUUGGGAGGAACACCUGCGGCGAAGGCGGCUACCUGGACAGAAACUGACGCUGAGGCGCGAAAGCUAGGGGAGCGAAC